GCAGCCCGGUGGCAGCGAGCACGAGAGCGGCCAGAAAUGUUGAAACAGAACUGCGACGUUGGACCGUUAGAGUCGUCGGACUCGUUAACCAAAACCAGGACGGGCCGGCUUCAGAGUGACAACAAGCAGAGGCAUUUUUGAGGGCCAUGCUUAGACCAGCACUCCUGGCAUCUCAAUACCUAAGAUGGUGCGUUAAGGCUUCAGGGAAGGUCAUCCUAUGCAGUGUGACCACAUUUUGCUCACAUUGGAUGGCCAGUUUAUCACAGAAGAGAGUGAGGAAAUCGCGAUGGCCCUGGGCCUCCUCCUGUGCAUAUAUUUUGUUUGGAAUCCAGCAUCCUGAAGGACUGAAGAAGACAUUUACCUUUUUGGAGUGUGUUGUAUUGAAAUUAAGGAUGCAGUCGACUUCCUGUCACAGUAAAAAGAGUAUACAACUUAA